GACGUAGGGCGCGAGCGUUGUCCGGAUUUAUUGGGCGUAAAGAGCUCGUAGGCGGCUUGUUGCGUCAGCUGUGAAAACCCGCAGCUCAACUGUGGGCUUGCAGCUGAUACGGGCAGGCUUGAGUUCGGUAGGGGAGACUGGAAUUCCUGGUGUAGCGGUGAAAUGCGCAGAUAUCAGGAGGAACACCGGUGGCGAAGGCGACUUUCUGGCCUGUUCUUGACGCUGAGGCGCGAAAGCUAGGGGAGCAAACAGG
rnacentral:rRNA from 1 species